GAGCCUACCUGGCUCUUUGGUGGGGCUAAAUGGUGGACUCUGGGAGGGCUCUCACCAAGGAGUACUUCCCAGAACUUCUGCGGCCAGUGUCAUUGUUCUCACUGUGAGCCACAGCCCCACCCCACCUCUGCAGGAGACCCUCCAACACUAGCAGAUGCCGGAGGCUCAGGAGGCAGCCCUGGAGGAGUCGCGCUGUGGGCUUCACCUUUACCAGCAUGUGAUUCUUCAUCACUAAGUCCCUGCUGCAAGGAUCAUAUCCAUCUGAUCCUCAACUGCACCUUCUCUCUCACUGGAGCAGGGGCGUGGAGCCCUGAACUGGGGAGCUGAGUCCACGUCCCCACCUUUGUCUGCCUUUGCAAAGUGUCGGAGAGGAAGGCGUUUUCCUCUGCCUUCCGGGUUCUUCUGGCUGGUCUAAGAAUUGCACUGACAUGAGACAGAUGAACAGGAGAAAAGCAAACAAAAGUUUAAUAACACAUAUACAUGGGAGUGAUCCAGGAAAACUGAGUAAAUCACCAAAAUGCAUGAAGCCCUCACCUUACCUACCACCUUCUGCUAAAGACAGAAGAGGAUGCUGAGGGUGGGGAGAGUCAGUUUUGGGAGGCGACUGGGUGAGGUUCUUAUGCAGAUUGAAGUCCUGCCUUCUCCAGUGAUGAGAGUUUCUAGAGGCUUGGACAUCCUCUUCUUCCUGCUGCGGAGGGGGAGAUAUCCUUACAAACAGAGCCUUCCCUUCUAAAUGCAAAUGUUUCUUACAAAAGAGUAAUUCCUGCUUGGUUUUCAGAGUUUUUCCCAUGUAUGCUGUUUCUUAGAAAAUAGGCAGCUUAAAAUAAUUAAUAUGCCCAAGAGACACACUUUCAGGUGGCAAAAUUGGCUCCCCUACAAAAGCCUCCCAGAGACGCAGUGCAGCUCACACCCCUCAUUUGUCCAGUCGGACACUUAGCUUAAUUGAGUGCAAGUCGAAUUAUUAGUUCACAGCUACAAAACCCUCCAUCCCCACCACUGUAGUUGGCCUCAUUAGGGGGGAUAAUCUGUCUUAAAAGAGAUUUGUUUUAAAACUCCUAAGACUCAAGUUGCUCCUGUCUAGUGAGGGCAUAAUUUAAUAUGACCACCAGAAUGCACAUGUCCGAUUCUAGGGGACCUAUUGGUAUUGGUUUUAUCAGUUGGAAGACAUUGGUGUUCAACUGAAUAAUGACAUCUUCAGGAAAAGCGGGCCCUGCUUAUUUUUAUGAAAUAUUAUCUACUGGGAGCAAGUGCUGGUCUCACAAACAGUUUCUGUCCAAGCUCCUCAAGAACAGGAUGUGAUCAGCAAAGUGAAUGAUUUUCUCUUUAACACAGAGUAAUCUGUCUGCUCUCGUGUAAACAGCAUUCAAUUUUUCUUGGCAUAAUGGCUUCCUCUGUAGAUGAAAUGAGCCUUUUGUACUUGAGAAAAAUGUGUAUAAUUUUGGCCAUUGGCUGAGAUAACUUAACAGCUUUCUGAAGUCAGGUAUUUUUAGAGCGCAUGUAAAACAGCGACUGGUAAUUAAUAGAAUAUCGACUGGUUCAGCCUCGUCUAAUCAUAGACUGCAUAUAAAUCAUAAGGUGUUUUGCAAUUAGGAAAAUCCAUAUUAAAUAACAAAGUACUGUUAUCUCAGUAAACUUAACAAGUGUGGACUAAUGCAGUAUGGAAUAAUUGCUGCAAUACAGAUGUACCUGUAUAGAACAGGUCUCCAUUUAUCGCACGUAAAACAGACUUCUUGUUUUUGUGGACACGGCUGUACUGACUAAAGGUCACUGGUGAAAUACUUCGCCAAUAUCCCCAAAAUGCUUGUUUCUCCUCCAGGGAUUUUCCAUACUGUCUGUCUAUCCCAAACACCAGCAGAGCCUUCUCUUUGCAUCUCUACACGGGUAGUGAUUAAAGGCUCCUUGAUUUCAGCAGUGCCAACCAGGAUCACAGCAUUUAUGGAGCUUUCAGCAUCCCCAUUACAAAUGUCUCAUAAGUGAUCAGCUGUAAAGCAUAUUUGAACCAGCUGAGGACAACAUCAGCAUAAAAAGAUCUCAAAAGAUCUUGGCCUGAGAGAGGAUAUUCUUUUUAUGAUGAGAUUUUCCCAUUUAUUUUUAAAAUAUAUAGAACACUUUUAUUUACAUUUGCCAUCUAUUUCAUAGAAAAAAAUAUAGAAGAGUAUUGUGUUACUCUUUUCACUUGGGCAUAUAUCGCUUCUAAAAAAAUAAGACACUGGAAACAAUUUUUAUAUUGGAUGGCUACUUAGUUAUUAGAGUUUUUUCAUUCCAUGACAUGCUCCCAUUUGUAUCUAUGGAGAGUUAAAAGGCUAUGAACUUACUCUCAUUAUUUGGUUGAAUGGUGCCUUUAAAAUGUUUAUUUUAGAGCAGGAAGGGAUCUUCAGGUCAUUUAAUCUAAUAGUCAUUUGUGAGAUGAGGGAAGUAAGGAGGAGAUAAGUAAAUGAAGGGGUUCAGGACCUGCCAACCCCAAAUGUGCCACUUUGUUGUGUAACCGAAAGUGGGUUCUGGCUGCUCACCGCUCAAAAGCCAAUAAAGAGGCAAGGUUCGUGGAAGCAAAAGUGUUUUUUAUUUUGGGUGCUGGCAACCGAUGCUUUGCAAAGGCAGACAAAGGUGGGGACGUGGACUCAGCUCCCCAGUUCAGGGCUCCACGCCCCCGCUCCAGUGAGAGAGAAGGUGCAGUUGAGGAUCAGAUGGAUAUGAUCCUUGCAGCAGGGACUGAGGGGAGGGAAAAGGGAGAAAGAAAAAUAGCCCUGAUUAUAUUUUGGGUGAAUAUCACUCUUCUUCUAUCUCAAACUUUUACCCAGUAACUAGGAAAUAUACUUUCCUACUUUGCCCAAAUUUUCCAAGGAGCCUUAAGCUGUGCCUGCUUUCCAAGGAUUGGGGAGGGACUGGGGAGGGUAGUGUUGACUGGAAACAGGCAUCCCCCUGAUGAGACAGCUCAUCUUCCUGUUUCAGGGCAGAGCCGUUGAAGCAGGAGAGGCAUCAUGGCCUCCAGAGGGCAGGAAGAAAGCAUGGAUGACUAAGGAGGUGCUAUGGACUGAAUGUCUGUGUGCCCCGCCAGAUUCCUGUGUUGAGUCCUAACCCCCAAGGGGAUGGUGUCAGGAGGUGGGGCCUUUGGGAGGUGAUGAGGUCAUGAGGGUGGAGCCCCCACGAUGGGAUCAGUGUCCUUAUAGAAGAGAUUCCAGAGAGCUCCCUUGCCCCUUCCUCCACGUGGGGACACAGGGAGAAGAUGCCUUCUAAGAACCAGGAGGAGCCCUCACCAGACACCCAAUCUGCCGGCACCUUAAUCUUGGACUUCCAGCCUCCAGAACUGUGAGAGAUACUUGCUGUUCAUAAGCUGCACUGUCUACGGUAAUUUCUUGUGAAGGUGCAAACGGGCUGAGCCAGCUGGGCAGAGAGGAUGGAAACUGCUGGGCCCUGGGAGCACAGGCUACUUGGAGAGUGGUCAGAGCUACUGCAGGGCCAGUCAGCUCUGACAGUCAUCUUGAUGUUGGUCAUGCAGUGGUCUGAUCAGCGUCAUCCUGAUUGUUUUAAGUGUAGUUCAU